AAGCUUGCAAGUGCAACUUAUGCAUAAUCAUUCCUCUUUUUAGACUCUAAUGCAUCUUGAUCCUAAAUCAAUUCAACAAAUUGGCUAGAUUAGGUAAUGAAAGUCUCCUAAAGGUUCAACUAUUUAUUCAACUAGCUUUGCCACAUGCUUUACAAUAUUAAAACUAUAAAUAACUACACAUUCAAGUUCCAAUAAUAAUGGUAUAUUACAUAUACAGAAGAGUGCAAUAUGGUUGAAAUCAAUUACCAAACCAAACUAAUGCAUUUCAAUAAAAUUGGUUUUAUUAUUUUGCAAAUUAAGUUUAGUUUAAUAUGAAAAUUUUGAAGGGAAACAGAAAAAAAAAGAGAAAGUUUUCGAUUUCUUGUUCUUUUGAAAUCUAUGAAACAUAAUGAUUGAUUGAUUUAUUAUAUAAUGAAAAGAUGGCAAAUAGAUUUGAAUGUAUGAGUAUUGAUGA
rnacentral:misc_RNA from 1 species